UUCUCUCUCUCCCUAUUGUCGCCGUCUCCAAUUUUUUACAGAGUUUUUGUUAAUUUCAUAGGAGCUUUUCUACGCAACAACACUAGAUCAGCAGAAUUAAACAUGAAUUUUCAGUGGAUUCAGCUUUAUUUGAUGUCUUCUUUUUUUCUCUUCUCAAUCUCUUUGUUUCCUUCCAAACCCUAAUCUCUCUUUUGUUUCAUAAUCAAAAUCCAAUUAUUCUGUUCAAUACAUGUCGAUGAUGGCGGGUAUACAAGCAGUGCGAUGUUCUCGUGGUCACUGUUGUUGGGUGCCAAAAAUUGAAAGACACCGAAUGGUUUUUUGAGUAUAACGGCGCAAGAUACCUUACCAGAACUUGCAGAGAUGGUGGAAAGAAAGCUGUUUUCCAAGAGAUGUUUAUGUUUACUUUGCUUGAAGGGCUUAGGGAUCUUAAGGAUUCAAUUGCAGAAGGUUCUUUCUCAGGGAUAUGACAAUUGCACCUAAAAUUUGCAGACUAAAACUGGGAGAAUUUUCUCAUGGGUGGUUGAGUUAGUUCAUCCUUUUAAACGUUACAAGAUAUGUCAUUGCGUGUGAAUGUUCGAUAAAGUUAAACAGAGGAGCUUGGACUGAUCAUGAAGACAAAUCUAGGAGUAAAGAGAUUUCGUCACCCAUCAAACAUAUGUACAGAGUACUUGCUUUUGUACUCAAUUUUCAACACAAAUGACAAAGUAUGAUAAUUGGUCGAGACUGAGCCUGCUGGAGAAAGUGAAGGGUAUACAUUUUUCUAUACAUAAAGGAUUUAUGUUCAAUUGUUUUGUUGAGCA